GGUUAAGGAUCCAGCAUUGCCGUGAGCUGAGGUGUAGGUUGCAGAUGUGGCUCCAAUUGGACCCCUAGCCUGGGAACUUAUGUAUGCCGAAGGUACGGCCCUAAAAAGACAAAAACAAAACAAAACAAAAAAAGAAAUAACUUUCAACUGUUAUGAGCAGCUGUUGUCACCGCUGUGGUGUGGGUUCGAUCCCUGGCCUGGGAACUUCUGCAUGCCACGGGUGUGGCCAAAAAAUGCCAGUCAAAAAACACAGCUCAGUGAUUGCCCUUGUGUGAGGUAGCUAGAGUAAUCAGACUUAGAGAGACUGACAUUAGAAGGGUGGCUUCGGAGGCAGGGGGAGGGAGGAAUGGGGAGUCAGUGUUCAGUGGGUAUACAGUUUCAGAUUUGCAAGAUAAAAGGAGGUCUGGGGAUGGCUGGUGGUGAUGGCUGCAUAACAGUUUGAAUGUACUUCUUGCCACUGAACUGUAUAUUUAAAAAUACUUGAGAUGGUACAUUUUAUCUGUAUUUCACCACAAUUUACUUAAAUGCAGGAGAGUUCCCAUCAUGGUGCAGCGGAAACGAAUCCGACUAGGAACCAUGAGGUUGCGGGUUCGAUGCCUAGCCUUGAUCAGUGAGUUAAAGAUCUGGCAUUGCCAUGAGCCAUGGUGUAGAUCGCAGAUGCGGCUCAGAUCUGGUGUUGCUGUGGCUCUGGCGUAGGCCGGCAGUGGUAGCUCCGAUUAGACCCCUGGCCUGGGAACCUCCAUAUGCCAUGGGUGUGGCCCUAAAAAGGACAAAAAGACAAAAUAAAUAAAUAAAUAAAUGCAGGCUUGAUUCCACAGAGCCUUUGCUUAAGAAUGGAAAAAACUUCCUAAUUUUUGGUCUUCUAUUUUUCCUGGGGGCUCUAUACAAGAUGUUUUUGGUAAAUAGAGGACUCUGUUACAUCCUGUUAAAAGAAAAAAGAAAUAUGUACUUCUUAACGUAUAGGAGUCCCCCUGAUUAAUCAUAAGAACGUUGUUCUUGCCGAAGCACCCAGAGUGAACCUAGUCCUCAUGCCUGGAAUGAUCAGGGCUGUGCAGGUCUAGCUCCUUACCACCCCUCAGCCAUCAAGUGCAAGUUCAUCUUUCUAUUCCACUUGUUCAUCCAAUAGUAACAGUUGUUACUGCCAUAUUGAACAAGGGGUAUGUGCUGGAAAAUAAAUUAUCAUCCCGGAGUUCCCGUCGUGGCGCAGUGGUUAACGGAUCCGACUAGGAACCAUGAGGUUGCGGGUUCGGUCCCUGCCCUUGCUCAGUGGGUUAACGGUCCGGCGUUGCCGUGAGCUGUGGUGUAGGUUACAGACGCGGCUCGGAUCCCGCGUUGCUGUGGCUCUGGCGUAGGCCGGUGGCUACAGCUCCGAUUCAACCCCUAGCCUGGGAACCUCCAUAUGCCGCGGAAGCGGCCCAAGAAAUAGCAACAACAACAACAA
rnacentral:lncRNA from 1 species